GUAGUCCACGCCGUAAACGAUGCAUAUUAUUCGUAUGGAGUAUCGACCCUCUGUGCGGAGAAGCUAACGCGUUAAAUAUGCCGCCUGGGGAGUACGAUCGCAAGAUUAAAACUCAAAGGAAUUGACGGGGCUCCGCACAAGCAGUGGAUCAUGUGGUUUAAUUUGAUGCUACGCGAAGAACCUUACCAAGGCUUGACAUCCCUAUCGUACCCCUAGGAAACUAGGGGGUCAGUUCGGCUGGAUAGGUGACAGAUGUUGCAUGGCCGUCGUCAGCUCGUGUCGUGAGAUGUUGGGUUAAGUCCCGCAACGAGCGCAACCCUUGUCGUGUGUUGUAUUUUUCACGCGAGACCGCCCGGGCCAACCGGGA
rnacentral:rRNA from 1 species